ACGUAGGUGGCAAGCGUUGUUCGGAAUAACUGGGCGUAAAGGAUGCGUAGGCGGUUGAGUAAGUUAUGUGUUAAAUAUAUAGGCUUAACCUGUAGAAAGCACAUAAAACUGUUUAACUAGAGUGCAGGAGAGGUAAGUGGAAUUCCUAGUGUAGCGGUGAAAUGCGUAGAGAUUAGGAAGAACACCAGUGGCGAAGGCGACUUACUGGACUGUAACUGACGCUGAGGCAUGAGAGCAUGGGGAGCAAACAGG
rnacentral:rRNA from 1 species